AUUGAACGCUGGCGGCAUGCCUUACACAUGCAAGUCGAACGGUAACAGGUCUUCGGAUGCUGACGAGUGGCGAACGGGUGAGUAAUACAUCGGAACGUGCCUAGUAGUGGGGGAUAACUACUCGAAAGAGUGGCUAAUACCGCAUGAGAUCUACGGAUGAAAGCAGGGGAUCGCAAGACCUUGUGCUACUAGAGCGGCCGAUGGCAGAUUAGGUAGUUGGUGGGAUAAAAGCUUACCAAGCCGACGAUCUGUAGCUGGUCUGAGAGGACGAUCAGCCACACUGGGACUGAGACACCGCCCAGACUCCUACGGGAGGCAGCAGUGGGGAAUUUUGGACAAUGGGCGCAAGCCUGAUCCAGCAAUGCCGCGUGCAGGAUGAAGGCCUUCGGGUUGUAAACUGCUUUUGUACGGAACGAAAAGCCCCGGGUUAAUACCCUGGGGUCAUGACGGUACCGUAAGAAUAAGCACCGGCUAACUACGUGCCAGCCGCCGCAGUAAUAC
rnacentral:rRNA from 1 species